CCUACGGGAGGCAGCAGUGGGGGAUAUUGCACAAUGGGGGGAACCCUGAUGCAGCGACGCCGCGUGGGUGAAGGAGUAUUUCGGUAUGUAAAGCCCUAUCGGCAGGGAAGAAAUUGGACGGUACCUGACUAAGAAGCCCCGGCUAACUACGUGCCAGCAGCCGCGGUAAUACGUAGGGGGCAAGCGUUAUCCGGAUUCACUGGGUGUAAAGGGAGCGUAGACGGCCAUGCAAGCCAGGGGUGAAAGCCCGGGGCCCAACCCCGGGACUGCCCGUGGAACUGCAUGGAGGGAGGGCGGGAGGGGCAGGCGGAAUUCCUGGUGUAGGGGUGAAAUGCGUAGAUAUCAGGAGGAACACCAGCGGCGAAGGCGGCCUGCUGGACCGGGACUGACGUUGAGGCUCGAAAGCGUGGGGAGCGAACAGGAUUAGAGACCCCUGUAGUC
rnacentral:rRNA from 1 species